AUGAGGAAGAUGCCCACAGUCCAGCAGAUCCGGAUGAAGAUGUGUCCUUGGUGGGCGAUGAGGACGAGGCAGGCUGCGGUGGCGUACAGGCAGUGGCCGACGAUGGUGAGCGCGAGCACGAGGCAGGCGAGGGCGCGGCGGACCCAGCGACGGCGGCAAAGGAGGCGCAGCGCCAGCACCGCCCAGGCCGCCAGGACCGGGACUCAGGACAACAUCCCGAGGCAGACGGCGUUCACCACGGCUUUGUCCGCGUCCGUCAGGUGGUCACAAGGCAGAAAGGAGAAUUGUGGCAGGGGAAAUUCAGAACGCAUGCAGGGAGAAGGGUAG
rnacentral:rRNA from 1 species